GUCGGGGUCUCAUGCGAUGGGAAUCUGUGAACCGUGUCAGGGUAGGAAUACAGCAGCACUAAGCAGACACUCUCAUGUGCCAUGAAUAACUCCGGCGCC
rnacentral:SRP_RNA from 1 species